GGCCCUAUAGUUCAAGGGAUAGAACGAAAGUUUCCUAAACUUUAAAUCCAGGUUCGAGUCCUGGUGGGGCUACCG
rnacentral:tRNA from 1 species